UACGUAGGGUCCGAGCGUUGUCCGGAAUUACUGGGCGUAAAGAGCUCGUAGGUGGUUUGUCGCGUUGUUCGUGAAAACUCACAGCUCAACUGUGGGCGUGCGGGCGAUACGGGGCAGACUAGAGUACUGCAGGGGAGACUGGAAUUCCUGGUGUAGCGGUGAAAUGCGCAGAUAUCAGGAGGAACACCGGUGGCGAAGGCGGUGGUCUGGGCCGGAACUGACGCUGAGGAGCGAAAGCGUGGGGAGCGAACAGG
rnacentral:rRNA from 1 species